rnacentral:rRNA from 1 species
CCUACGGGAGGCAGCAGUCGAGGAUCUUCGGCAAUGGACGCAAGUCUGACCGAGCAACGCCGCGUGUGCGAUGAAGGCCUUCGGGUUGUAAAGCACUGUCGAGGGGAAACAAGCCGUAAGGUUGAGUGACCCCUGGAGGAAGCACGGGCUAAGUUCGUGCCAGCAGCCGCGGUAAGACGAACCGUGCAAACGUUAUUCGGAAUCACUGGGCUUAAAGGGCGCGUAGGCGGGUAAUCAAGUCAAUGGUGAAAUCCUCCAGCUUAACUGGAGAAGUGCCUUUGAUACUGGUUGUCUAGAGGGAGGUAGGGGCAUGUGGAACUUCAGGUGGAGCGGUGAAAUGCGUAGAUAUCUGAAGGAACGCCAGUGGCGAAAGCGAUGUGCUGGACCUCUUCUGACGCUGAGGCGCGAAAGCUAGGGGAUCAAACGGGGAUUAGAUACCCCCGGGUAGUCCUAGCCCUAAACUAUGGGUACUAGAUUGUGGACUUUCAUGGGUUCACAGUCGAAACAAAAGUGUUAAGUACCCCGCCUGGGGAGUAUGGUCGCAAGGCUGAAACUCAAAUGAUUGACGGUGNGAGAGCGCGACGACGACGACGAGGAGAG